rnacentral:pre_miRNA from 1 species
UUUUAUGAAUGAACAAAGAAGGUGGUUUCUUGAGAUAGAAUCUACUCCUGGUGAAAAUACUGAGAA